UUUAAAUAUGCCUAAAAAAAGCUGGUUAUAUAUCCUUAUUGAAACGUAUUAAAAUAAAUCACGGGACAAAACUGAUUUGCCUCAUUAUCCAUCGUGCAACCGGUGAAUUCGGAGUAUGUAAUAAAGGAUCUAGUGAGAGUAGCAGCAUUAUAAGCAAAUAAUUAACGUAACAAAGCAAGCAAUCGAUUAUGGCAUGAUGACAGCGUCAAUGAAUGUUACGAUCAUCCCGUUUUUGCUAGGAGCUCUUAUGUCUGUCGAAGACGUGCAGGAAUGGAAUUUCGGUCCAGAAUACAUGUUCGAAUUGAAAAAAUCCAUUAGAGUGUACAUGGAGCAAGAAAUGUAUAUAGGUGCAAAAGCAACUGCUAUGCUAAAAUGUCGUCCAAAAGUAUCGUCUCAAAGUAUCCCAAAUCUUUUGAUUUGUUGUGCAAGUAAUAUCACUGUCUUAAAUAUCACGCGGCAGAAAUAUGAAAAGUGGAAAGAAAUAAUACACGACAAAAUCUCUAUCAUUCCGCAUAAGGAAUGAAAUAAAAUACUGAACCAAUUAUUUCGAUUAGAGUUUGGUAGACGAGGUAUACGGAAUUUUGAAGUAAAAGUAAGUGAACAGAAGCAACAUUAUUAUAACAUGAUCACAGAUAUCAUUGAUCAAUUCAACAUUGGCACUGAUUUGAGUAUCGUAAGAGUCAGCAUGAAAAAUUAUGAAAACAAGGUACGCAGACCGUAUGUAAUCUCCACUUUCACGCAAUAUGAGGAAGACACGGCAAGAGUUACUAAAUGUAAUACGUCAUGGUCAAUUACGUAUACACCAUCAGAUCAACAUAAGAAAAACAGAAAAUUUAGCAGAAAAAUGGUCCAGAAAAAGAAUAAAACAGAAUUCGGUUUUCGACUCAAAUUGCUGCCGAUAUCUUACACGCAUCCCGCCAGUAGGACAUUUGUGAUAGAAAGAAUUAGAAAGGGAUGCACUCAUCACUCGCAAUUCCUUAUGCUUUUUAACGAGAAGUGGGAAAUUCACAACAUGAUAAUUACGUAUACUUUUAUGCUUUUCUAUCACAUUUUUAUAGAAACAGAGAAAAUUAAUUAUCAAACAUUACUUUAAA